GAUGAACGCUGGCGGCGUGCCUAAUACAUGCAAGUCGAGCGAAUGGAUUAAGAGCUUGCUCUUAUGAAGUUAGCGGCGGACGGGUGAGUAACACGUGGGUAACCUGCCCAUAAGCCUGGGAUAACUCCGGGAAACCGGGGCUAAUACCGGAUAACAUUUUGAACCGCAUGGAUCGAAAUUGAAAGGAGGCUUCGGCUGUCACUUAUGGAUGGACCCGCGUCGCAUUAGCUAGUUGGUGAGGUAACGGCUCACCAAGGCAGCGAUGCGGGACCGACCUGAGAGGGUGAUCGGCCACACUGGGACUGAGACACGGCGCAGACUCCUACGGGAGGCAGCAGUAGGGAAUCUUCCGCAAUGGACGAAAGUCUGACGGAGCAACGCCGCGUGAGUGAUGAAGGCUUUCGGGUCGUAAAACUCUGUUGUUAGGGAAGAACAAGUGCUAGUUGAAUAAGCUGGCACCUUGACGGUACCUAACCAGAAAGCCACGGCUAACUACGUGCCAGCCGCCGCGGUAA
rnacentral:rRNA from 1 species